rnacentral:rRNA from 1 species
AUACAGAGGGUGCAAGCGUUAAUCGGAAUUGCUGGGCGUAAAGCGCGCGUAGGCGGUUUUGUAAGUCGGAUGUGAAAGCCCUGAGCUCGACUCAGGAACUGCAUUCGAUACUGCAUGACUAGAGUAUGGUAGAGGGAAGUGGAAUUCCAGGUGUAGCGGUGAAAUGCGUAGAUAUCUGGAGGAACAUCAGUGGCGAAGGCGACUUCCUGGACCAAUACUGACGCUGAGGUGCGAAAGCGUGGGGAGCAAACAGGAUUAGAAACCCUAGUAGUCC